rnacentral:rRNA from 1 species
CCUACGGGCGGCAGCAGGGAGGAAUAUUGGGCAAUGGGCGCGAGCCUGAACCAGCCAAGUAGCGUGAAGGAUGACUGCCCUACGGGUUGUAAACUUCUUUUAUAAAGGAAUAAAGUGAGGCACGUGGGCCGUUUUGUAUGUACGUUAUGAAUAAGGAUCGGCUAACUCCGUGCCAGCAGCCGCGGUAAUACGGAGGAUCCGAGCGUUAUCCGGAUUUAUUGGGUUUAAAGGGAGCGUAGAUGGGUUGUUAAAUCAGUUGUGAAAGUUUGCGGCUCAACCGUAAAAUUGCAAUUGAUACUGGCAGUCUUGAGUACCGUUGCGGUAGGCGGAAUUCGUGGUGUAGCGG